rnacentral:rRNA from 1 species
UGGGGAAUAUUGGGCAAUGGGGGAAACCCUGACCCAGCAACGCCGCGUGAAGGACGAAGGCCUUCGGGUUGUAAACUUCUUUGAUCAGGGACGAACGAAAUGACGGUACCUGAAGAACAAGCCACGGCUAACUACGUGCCAGCAGCCGCGGUAAUACGUAGGUGGCGAGCGUUAUCCGGAUUUACUGGGUGUAAAGGGCGUGCAGGCGGGUCCGCAAGUCGGGUGUGAAAUAUCCGGGCUUAACCCGGAAAGGUCACUCGAAACUGCGGAUCUUGAGUACUGGAGAGGACAGUGGAAUUCCUGGUGUAGCGGUAAAAUGCGUAGAUAUCAGGAGGAACACCAGUGGCGAAGGCGGCUGUCUGGACAGUAACUGACGCUGAGGCGCGAAAGCGUGGGGAGCAAACAG